CGCUAUCACUCCUACGGGGAGGCAGCAGUGGGGAAUAUUGCACAAUGGGCGCAAGCCUGAUGCAGCCAUGCCGCGUGUGUGAAGAAGGCCUUCGGGUUGUAAAGCACUUUCAGUAAGGAGGAAAGGUUAAGUGUUAAUAGCACUUAGCUGUGACGUUACUUACAGAAGAAGCACCGGCUAACUCCGUGCCAGCAGCCGCGGUAAUACGGAGGGUGCGAGCGUUAAUCGGAAUUACUGGGCGUAAAGCGUACGCAGGCGGUUUGUUAAGCGAGAUGUGAAAGACCCCGGGCUUAACCUGGGAACUGCAUUUCGAACUGGCAAACUAGAGUGUGAUAGAGGGUGGUAGAAUUUCAGGUGUAGCGGUGAAAUGCGUAGAGAUCUGAAAGAAUACCGAUGGCGAAGGCAGCCACCUGGGUCAACACUGACGCUCAUGUACGAAAGCGUGGGGAGCAAACAGGAUUAGAUACCCUGGUAG
rnacentral:rRNA from 1 species